rnacentral:rRNA from 1 species
UCGCGAAAACUUUGCAAUAAGCGAAAGCUUGACAGGGCUAUCCCGAGUGCCAUCCGCUGAGGAAGGCUUUUACCCAGUAUAGCAAGCUGGGGGGAAUAAGGAGAGGGCAAGUCUGGUGUCAGCCGCCGCGGUAAUACCAGCUCUCCGAGUGGUGUGGAUGUUUAUUGGGCCUAAAGCAUCCGUAGCUGGCCAAGUUAGUCCCCCUGUUAAAUCCACCGAAUUAAUCGUUGGUGUGCGGGGGAUACUGCUCGGCUAGGGGACGAGAGAGGCAGACGGUAUUUUCGGGGGUAGGGGUGAAAUCCUAUAAUCCCGGGAAGACCACCAGUGGCGAAGGCUGUCUGCUAGAACGCGCCCGACGGUGAGGGAUGAAAGCUGGGGGAGCGAACCGGAUUAGAUACCCGGGUAGUCCCAGCUGUAAACGAUGCAGGCUAGGUGUUUGAACGGCCACGUGCCGUUCUAGUGCCGCAGGGAAGCUGUUAAGCCUGCCGCCUGGGGGAGUACGAUCGCAAGAUUGAAACUUAAAGGAAUUGGGCGGGGG